UACGAAGGGGGCUAGCGUUGUUCGGAUUUACUGGGCGUAAAGCGCACGUAGGCGGAUUGUUAAGUGAGGGGUGAAAUCCCAGGGCUCAACCCUGGAACUGCCUUUCAUACUGGCAAUCUCGAGUCCGGAAGAGGUGAGUGGAACUCCUAGUGUAGAGGUGGAAUUCGUAGAUAUUAGGAAGAACACCAGUGGCGAAGGCGGCUCACUGGUCCGGUACUGACGCUGAGGUGCGAAAGCGUGGGGAGCAAACAGG
rnacentral:rRNA from 3 species